GGGGGUAUAGCUCAGUGGUAGAGCACAUGCUUAGCAGACAUGAGGUUCUGGGUUUAAUCCCCCAUGCCUCCA
rfam:Camelus ferus unplaced genomic scaffold scaffold569, whole genome shotgun sequence.